rnacentral:siRNA from 1 species
UACCAUGUAACAAUAUAAGGCGC